AAUUAUACCGCGGAAACUGCGAAUGGCUCAUUAAAUCAGUUAUCGUUUAUUUGAUAAUACCUUACUACUUGGAUAACCGUGGUAAUUCUAGAGCUAAUACAUGCUUCAAAUCCCGACUCACGAAGGGGUGUAUUUAUUAGAUUAAAAACCAAUGCCCUUCGGGGCUUACUGGUGAUUCAUAAUAACUUCUCGAAUCGCAUGCCCUUGCGGCGGCGAUGGUUCAUUCAAAUUUCUGCCCUAUCAACUUUCGAUGGCAGGGUCUUGGCCUGCCAUGGUUACAACGGGUAACGGAGGGUUAGGGCUCGACCCCGGAGAAGGAGCCUGAGAAACGGCUACUACAUCCAAGGAAGGCAGCAGGCGCGCAAAUUACCCAAUCCCGAUACGGGGAGGUAGUGACAAUAAAUACUGAUACAGGGCUCUUUUGGGUCUUGUAAUUGGAAUGAGUACAAUUUAAAUCCCUUAACGAGGAACAAUUGGAGGGCAAGUCUGGUGCCAGCAGCCGCGGUAAUUCCAGCUCCAAUAGCGUAUAUUAAAGUUGUUGCAGUUAAAAAGCUCGUAGUUGAACCUUGGGCCUGGCUGGCCGGUCCGCCUCACCGCGUGCACUGGUUCGGCCGGGCCUUUCCCUCUGGGGAACCACAUGCCCUUCACUGGGUGUGUCGGGGAACCAGGACUUUUACUGUGAAAAAAUUAGAGUGUUCAAAGCAGGCCUAUGCUCGAAUAGUACAGCAUGGAAUAAUAGAAUAGGACGCGCGGUUCUAUUUUGUUGGUUUCUAGGACCGCCGUAAUGAUUAAUAGGGACAGUCGGGGGCAUCAGUAUUCAAUUGUCAGAGGUGAAAUUCUUGGAUUUAUUGAAGACUAACUACUGCGAAAGCAUUUGCCAAGGAUGUUUUCAUUAAUCAGGAACGAAAGUUAGGGGAUCGAAGACGAUCAGAUACCGUCGUAGUCUUAACCAUAAACUAUGCCGACUAGGGAUCGGACGAUGUUAUUUUUUGACUCGUUCGGCACCUUACGAGAAAUCAAAGUCUU
rnacentral:rRNA from 1 species